UACACUGUUGAAUGAAGAUGGACAAGGAAACACAUAAGAUAGAAGAACUAAAUCGUGCCUUUGACGCUUCCGGUCACGCUGACUCACGCUCUCGCGGACUUUAUGCUAACGCGCUAGCAUUUAAACUAGCGCACUUUCUCCAGAGUUUAUACGCAAACGCGUGGAUUAUUUAGUCCCGAAGGAGAGUGUCAGGACCUGAGAGUAACUGGACACCUGGAGGCGAACAGAAACAGGGGUUCUGAGAUGACGACAUGACGCCAGCGAUGAAAAAGAACCUUCUAUCAACCUUCUGUCUUCUUAUGGGGAGAAUGUUCUGUGGUCCGACAGGGCGACAGGGGUCACAUCCUCUACAGAGACCCUCUGCCCGUUGACUUUUCCCAACACCUCAACACCUGCUCUAUCUCUCUACAUCAAGGGGAAGCCAAAGUUAUUACCACUGUGUUUUGGUGUCAGACAGAGUCAAUUACACCUCUGAUUGAGAGAGAGCAAGAGAAAAGAGUGAGAACACACAUGACCUGGAACCAUAGACUGUAGGUGGACACGGUCAUUGUCUUCCAGAUGCAGAACAAGCUCAAGGUUUGCAGUUUGAUCAGCAACUUAAAGGUUUUUGAAUCUGCAAAUUCACAGACGUCACCUGAAACCUAUUGGACAAUACUAGAAUUGUCCAUCUUAUGAUGUCCACAUGUGAUGGGUUUCGUUGUCUUUCUCCCUCUAAAUGGAAACAUCACUUUUUCAACAUAGUCUCUGCUGCGGUCUUUCAUCGGUGUUGCAGCACUUUGAUGCUCUUGUUAUAGAAGAGCUCAUACUGAUAGUCAAACAGAUAUUUCCACUGCAUGCACUGCCUUUGUGUCUCUGGCUCAAAGUGGUGGACCCCUACACUCAUCCUGGGUCAGGAAACGUUCAAGAAAACCAGCUGGAUCUGCUUCAAAAUGUGCCAAGUUCCUCUUUGACAUGACCAGCCUGGUGUGCUUUUGAUCAGGGGUCAAAAGCUGUGGCACCCACUCAGCGGAAACCUUCGACAUGCCAAGUUUUAGAGUUCUCAACGGGGGGGGGCCAGCCUGACAAACCUGUUCAGCCUGAACCUGCGUCCGGUUCAGGCUUAAAGACCCGCGGGCUGAGUCGGGUCUUAAUUUUCAGGCCUGUUGAGAACUCGGUCAAAUGUCUGUUAUCCAUCACUGUGUGGUGGUUGACGUCUGGACCUUUGGUCAGCCUCAGGGCUACCCACUAUUGCACAGUUGACAAAACUGUGCAUCAUCAACUUGGGCAACUUGAGCAUCAUCAAGGAUGUACUCGGUGGCCAACCCCUUUUUUUCUGCAGAUGUUUUGUCCCAUUAUGGGGCCAAAUUUUGGCCAUGUUCACAAAAUGUCCUCAAUUAUCUAUCAAAAUGUAGGUUUAUCGAGAAAGAAAACAAUGCAAUUAGUAUCACGAAAGGUUGAAUUUAGUGCAGGCCACGUUUCAUUGCUAUGGCAUUACUCCUUCAUCAGCCUUUGAACUCUUCACUCCGCCCUCGUACACACGUGUCAUCAUGUCCUGUUGAAGAAAACCUGAAACUAGUGACUGAGACCAUGAACACCUCAGGAAAACGUUUAGUGACAUUUUAAAUCAAGUGAGAAGCAGAAC